rnacentral:rRNA from 1 species
GACGAACGCUGGCGGCGUGCUUAACACAUGCAAGUCGAACGGAAAGGCCCUGCUUUUGUGGGGUGCUCGAGUGGCGAACGGGUGAGUAACACGUGAGUAACCUGCCCUUGACUUUGGGAUAACUUCAGGAAACUGGGGCUAAUACCGGAUAGGAGCUCCUGCUGCAUGGUGGGGGUUGGAAAGUUUCGGCGGUUGGGGAUGGACUCGCGGCUUAUCAGCUUGUUGGUGGGGUAGUGGCUUACCAAGGCUUUGACGGGUAGCCGGCCUGAGAGGGUGACCGGCCACAUUGGGACCGAGAUACGGCCCAGACUCCUACGGGAGGCAGCAGUGGGGAAUAUUGCACAAUGGGCGGAAGCCUGAUGCAGCAACGCCGCGGGCGGGAUGACGGCCUUCGGGUUGUAAACCGCUUUCGCCUGUGACGAAGCGUGAGUGACGGUAAUGGGUAAAGAAGCACCGGCUAACUACGUG